UAAUAUGGAGAGUUUGAUCCUGGCUCAGGAUGAACGCUGGCGGCGUGCCUAAUACAUGCAAGUCGAGCGAACUGAAGA
rnacentral:rRNA from 1 species